rnacentral:rRNA from 1 species
UACAUGGGGUGCAAACGUUGCUCGGAAUCAUUGGGCGUAAAGCGCGCGUAGGCGGUUACUUAAGUUGGAUGUGAAGGCCCUCGGCUUAACCGAGGAAGUGCAUCCAAAACUGAGUAGCUAGAGUACGAAAGAGGGUCGCGGAAUUCCCGGUGUAGAGGUGAAAUUCGUAGAUAUCGGGAGGAACACCGGUGGCGAAGGCGGCGACCUGGGUCGAGACUGACGCUGAGGCGCGAAAGCGUGGGGAGCAAACAGG